rnacentral:rRNA from 1 species
UACGUAGGGUCCGAGCGUUGUCCGGAUUUAUUGGGCGUAAAGAGCUCGUAGGCGGUGUGUCACGUCGGCCGUGAAAACCUGCAGCUUAACUGUGGGCGCGCGGUCGAUACGGGCAUCACUGGAGUUCGGCAGGGGAGACUGGAAUUCCUGGUGUAGCGGUGAAAUGCGCAGAUAUCAGGAGGAACACCGGUGGCGAAGGCGGGUCUCUGGGCCGAUACUGACGCUGAGGAGCGAAAGCGUGGGGAGCAAACAGG